UACGAAGGGGGCUAGCGUUGUUCGGAAUUACUGGGCGUAAAGCGCACGUAGGCGGCUACUCAAGUCGGGGGUGAAAGCCCAGGGCUCAACCCUGGAAGUGCACUCGAUACUGCGAGGCUAGAGUCCCGGAGAGGAUGGUGGAACUCUCGGUGUAGAGGUGAAAUUCGUAGAUAUCGAGAAGAACACCGGUGGCGAAGGCGGCCAUCUGGACGGUGACUGACGCUGAGACGCGAAAGCGUGGGGAGCAAACAGG
rnacentral:rRNA from 1 species